rnacentral:rRNA from 1 species
AUUGAACGCUGGCGGCAGGCUUAACACAUGCAAGUCGAGCGGGGUGAUGGUGCUUGCACUAUCACUUAGCGGCGGACGGGUGAGUAAUGCUUAGGAAUCUGCCUAUUAGUGGGGGACAACAUCUCGAAAGGGAUGCUAAUACCGCAUACGUCCUACGGGAGAAAGCAGGGGAUCACUUGUGACCUUGCGCUAAUAGAUGAGCCUAGGUCGGAUUAGCUAGUUGGUGGGGUAAAGGCCUACCAAGGCGACGAUCUGUAGCGGGUCUGAGAGGAUGAUCCGCCACACUGGGACUGAGACACGGCCAAGGCUCCUACGGGAGGCAGCAGUGGGGAAUAUUGGACAAUGGGGGUAACCCUGAUCCAGCCAUGCCGCGUGUGUGAAGAAGGACUUAUGGUUGUAAAGCACUUUAAGCGAGGAGGAGGCUACUCUAGUUAAUACCUAGGGAUAGUGGACGUUACUCGCAGAAUAAGCACCGGCUAACUCUGUGCCAGCCGCCGCAGUAA